rnacentral:rRNA from 1 species
CCCUUAGAUGUUCUGGGCCGCACGCGUGCUACACUGAGUGGAUCAGCGGGUCAGGUUGCGCGAAAGCGUUUCCUAAACUUUAAAUCCGCUCGUGAUGGGGAUUGACGGUUGCAAUUUUCUGUCAUGAACGAGGAAUACCUUGUAAGCGCGGGUCAUCAUCCCGCGCUGAAUACGUCCCUGCCCUUUGUACACACCGCCCGUCGCUCCUACCGAUUGAGUGGUCCGGUGAGGCUUUGGGAUCUGAGCGGAAAGAGCGUUUCGCUGUUUCUGCUCGGAAAACUCAGUCGAACCUUAUCAUUUAGAGGAAGGAGAAGUCGUAACA